rnacentral:snRNA from 1 species
GGAUGAUCAGCUAUGACAUCUGUCAUUCCACUGAUCACCAAUUUGUCCAGCUGAACUGGCUAGCUAGGCCGAUAUCUGAUCCCUGUCUCCCUGUUUCAUGUACAUAUCUUCUGAAGCUUUACACAUAGUGCAAGAGGACAAUCCUAUACAGAAGGAGUGUGCUGCUCUUCAGUCAAUAUACGAUACCUACACUUCCCUACCAUAAUGCCCAAACAAGCUCAAGAGAUUUUUGUAGAAGAACAAAGUUAAUUAAGCUUCCUGAACUGUCCGUUUCUUAUUUUCAUACAAC